rnacentral:rRNA from 1 species
UACGUAGGGGGCGAGCGUUGUCCGGAUUCAUUGGGCGUAAAGAGCUCGUAGGCGGUUUGGCAAGUCGGAUGUGAAAACUCCAGGCUCAACCUGGAGCCGCCAUUCGAUACUGCUAUGACUAGAGUCCGGUAGGGGAGUGUGGAAUUCCCGGUGUAGCGGUGAAAUUCGUAGAUAUCGGGAGGAACACCGGUGGCGAAGGCGGCGAUCUGGGUAGAUACUGACGCUGAGGUGCGAAAGCGUGGGGAGCAACAGG